GGUGGGUUAGCUCAAUGGUUAAAGUAUAGGUCUCGUAACCGAAAGGUUGCCGGAUCGAAUCCCGCUAGAGGCUG
rnacentral:tRNA from 1 species